AUUGAACGCUGGCGGCAUGCCUUACACAUGCAAGUCGAACGGCAGCACGGGGCAACCUGGUGGCGAGUGGCGAACGGGUGAGUAAUGCAUCGGAACGUGCCAUUGAGUGGGGGAUAACGUAGCGAAAGUUGCGCUAAUACCGCAUAUUCUGUGAGCAGGAAAGCAGGGGACCGCAAGGCCUUGCGCUCUUUGAGCGGCCGAUGUCAGAUUAGCUAGUUGGUGAGGUAACGGCUUACCAAGGCGACGAUCUGUAGCGGGUCUGAGAGGAUGAUCCGCCACACUGGAACUGAGACACGGUCCAGACUCCUACGGGAGGCAGCAGUGGGGAAUUUUGGACAAUGGGCGCAAGCCUGAUCCAGCCAUGCCGCGUGAGUGAAGAAGGCCUUCGGG
rnacentral:rRNA from 1 species